AGAGUAAAGACGCAGGCGUUUCGAGCGAGAAAUCGCUCGCCAGUGCCGGCGGGACGGGGAGUUGUCCGCCGGACGAAAAGGGAUUUUCCCUUGCGGUUUGUGUCUUGCAUCCCGCU
rnacentral:ncRNA from 1 species